CAGAGACCCUUCCCCAUUCAACGAGACUUAUAUAUCUAUAUAUGUAUAUAUGCAAUUUAUAUACCUCAGUCUUGAGAUUAAUUUCGUACUGAGAGGUAUACUAAAUUUUGUGGUCGGAUAAAGCUGUCCAACGCCAUCAUCAACAACGAUACUACAGAAUUCUGGUCUUUAAAUCAAUCUAUCUUAGGUUAAUUACUUCAUCUCGCCGACGUAUAUUAUUGAGACAUUUCCACGCCUCAAUUUUAUACCGUCGCUGAUAAAUGUAUUCGAAACCUUACUACUUAACUACCUUACUACCUUAUUCUAUUACUACC